GACGAACGCUGGUGGCGUGCCUAAUACAUGCAAGUCGAACGCAGUGGGGACGGGUGAGUAACACGUGGGUAACCUCCCAUCAGAGGGGAUAACACUUGGAAACAGGUGCUAAACCGAUACUGAUGGAUGGCCCCGCGGUGCAGUAGCUAGUUGGUGAGGUAACGGCGCACCAAGGCCACGAUGCAUAGCCGCCCUGAGAGCGUGGUCAGCCACUCUGGGACUGAGACACGGCCCAGACUCCUCCGGCAGGCACCAGUAGGGAAUCGUCGGCAAUGGACGAAAGUCUGACCGAGCAACGCCGCGUGAGUGAAGAAGUUUUUCGGACCGUAAAACUCUGUUGUUAGAGCAGCGGUAUCUAACCAGAAAGCCACGGCUAACUACGUGCCAGCCGCCGCGGUAAUAC
rnacentral:rRNA from 1 species